rnacentral:rRNA from 1 species
UACGUAUGGUGCAAGCGUUAUCCGGAUUUACUGGGUGUAAAGGGCGUGCAGCCGGGCGCUUAAGUCAGAUGUGAAAUCCGCGGGCUUAACCCGCGAACUGCAUUUGAAACUGAGCGUCUUGAGUAUCGGAGAGGUCAUCGGAAUUCCUAGUGUAGCGGUGAAAUGCGUAGAUAUGUGGAAGAACACCAGUGGCGAAGGCGGAUAACUGGACGGCAACUGACGGUGAGGCGCGAAAGCGUGGGGAGCAAACAGG